rnacentral:misc_RNA from 1 species
GUUCCCUCAAAAUCGUCCAUGUCAAGUGACCAAACCAUGAGUCCACCAAGACCUUUAGCAUCGGCAUAAGAAACUUUCUCCUUCAACGAAUCUUCACUUUCAAACGAAACCAGUGAACGUUUCAUUCGAUUCCAUAAGAAACUUGUCCUUGUUUUAUUGUGCCAAACGGGUUCACCUUUGGUCAACCAUUCUUGAGUCAAUUUACGAUAACUGACCAUUGAGCCCUUCGAUCCAUCUUUGACUGGACUUGCUUUACGGAAAAGGUCAUCUUUAGUUUCAUCAACAUGAUUACCCACAUUGGUCCAAGCUCGUCCAAAGAAACCAAGUCCAAGAACCAACUUAUCAGGUCGACCCGUUUCACAAACAUACCUUUUAACGAUUGCAUCGAUAUUCAAUUUACCUGGAAAACCAUCAGGUGACCCAAAGUACAAAGGUGCCAUUGGUCCGGUAUAAUCGCCCCAAGAUGAAUUCCAUGGUCCAUGGAAAUCAAAGGCCAUAAUAUUAAUCCAAUCGACAUGAUUAAUCAAAGUCUUAAGAUCAUAACCAUAAUCUAAGAUCCAAUAUAAUCCUGGUCCAGUUAGGACAAGUGAAUAAGGCUCUGAUCGUCCGUUUCCACUUUGAUGGUCAAUCAUUGAAUCUUUAAUGUUUUGCAUCAAACGAUUAAGAUUAUCCUUAUCCUCCUUUGAUCCUUUAACUUUACCACCAAUGUUUGGAUAUUGCCAAACAAUAUCGACCCCGUCAAACUCCCAGUAAUCAAGAAAAGCGAUUAUGUCCAUGAUGAACGUUUUCUGGACAUUCGGUGAUCUACUAAUCUUUGUGAACCAUUGAGAGUUUGACCAGCCCCCUAAAGCGAUCAGAAUCUUAAUAUCUGGAUUAUCGUUUUUCAAUGA